UUCCGGUUGAUCCCGCCGGACCUGACUGCUAUCGGAUUGAUACUAAGCCAUGCGAGUCUUUGUAGUAAUACAAGGCAGACGGCUCAGUAACACGUAGUCAACCUACCCUAUGGACAAGAAUAAUCUCGGGAAACUGGGCAUAAUUCUUGAUAGAUCAUAAUGCCUGGAAUGGUUUAUGGUUAAAAUGAUUCGUCGCCAUAGGAUGGGACUGCGGCCUAUCAGCUUGUUGGUGAGGUAAUGGCCCACCAAGGCGAUUACAGGUACGGGCUCUGAGAGGAGAAGCCCGGAGAUGGGUACUGAGACACGGACCCAGGCCCUAUGGGGCGCAGCAGGCGAGAAAACUUUGCAAUGUGCGAAAGCACGACAAGGUUAAUCCGAGUGAUUUCUGCUAAAGAAAUCUUUUGCCAGUCAUAAAACCACUGGUGAAUAAGGGGUGGGCAAGUUCUGGUGUCAGCCGCCGCGGUAAAACCAGCACCUCAAGUGGUCAGGAUGAUUAUUGGGCCUAAAGCAUCCGUAGCCGGCUUUGUUAGUUUUCGGUUAAAUCCAUGUGCUCAACGCAUGGGCUGCCGAAAAUACUGCAUGGCUAGGGAGUGGGAGAGGUAGACGGUACUCAGUAGGAAGGGGUAAAAUCCUUUGAUCUAUUGAUGACCACCUGUGGCGAAGGCGGUCUACCAGAACACGUUCGACGGUGAGGGAUGAAAGCUGGGGGAGCAAACCGGAUUAGAUACCCGGGUAGUCCCAGCUGUAAACGAUGCAGACUCGAUGAUGCAUUGGCAUAAUAGCCAGUGCAGUGUCGCAGGGAAGCCGUUAAGUCUGCCGCCUGGGAAGUACGUACGCAAGUAUGAAACUUAAAGGAAUUGGCGGGGGAGCACCACAAGGGGUGAAGCCUGCGGUUCAAUUGGAGUCAACGCCGGG
rnacentral:rRNA from 1 species